CUGCUCUGAGGGAGCUGGCUCUAGAGGCUGGGAACAGAAGUACCUGCAGGAGAACGCCAUGAGACACUUUAACAUGGAGACUGCUGCUACAGCCAACCCACACAGGGACACCCUGGUGGUACACUCUCACAGUGGUAGCUACAGUGAGAUGAUGGGCUGUACACUGUGGCAGGGGGAACAGUGUACAGCAGGCUACCAGACGCUGCAAUAACAUGGAGCACAGGAUAAGGGAGGGAUGCGAUGAUAAAGGUUUUACAGCAGCGGAACUCUCGCCGUGACCUCAGCGCCCUCUGCCCUGCCCGCUCCACCCCCUCCAUCUCCUUAGCAACAGGACUGCACCCACGACAAGCUUCUCAGACAGACGAGAGGAAAGAGAGAAACUUCCUCCCAUCCCUCCCCCUCAUC